ACAUCGAGACCUCCAAGAAGAUGGAUAUUCAAACAGUGGUCUUCACUCCCAACUUUCUUCAACUAGUGACAGCACUUGCUAGUUCACUCCAUACGGCAAGUAGUUGUGAAGGUGACCUUUUCAGCAACAUGCAAUGCCCUCGUGUUGACAUUGAGUUUGUCAUAGUCCAACAUUUAGCACACCAUCAUAAUUGUAAGCAAUUUUUUAGGGUUAUAAAACUGUUUAGAAUCGCCGCAACGGGAGAUUAUAAUCUAGAUCUAUCACGCGGAAUCUGAGUGUUUUGCACAAUCUAGAGCUCAUUCCUUUUGCCGAGCUUCGCCAAUGGAAGAACCCUACAGCACAACUAGUACGGAUGCACCCUCCUUCGUAAGCUGAACCAGAGCUGCCCAAAAAACCAUCACAGUAUCAUCGAAAU
rnacentral:lncRNA from 1 species